CCGGGUUGCGGACAGUGUCUGGUGGGUAGUUUGACUGGGGCGGUCUCCUCCCAAAGAGUAACGGAGGAGCACGAAGGUUGGCUAAUCCUGGUCGGACAUCAGGAGGUUAGUGCAAUGGCAUAAGCCAGCUUGACUGCGAGCGUGACGGCGCGAGCAGGUGCGAAAGCAGGUCAUAGUGAUCCGGUGGUUCUGAAUGGAAGGGCCAUCGCUCAACGGAUAAAAGGUACUCCGGGGAUAACAGGCUGAUACCGCCCAAGAGUUCAUAUCGACGGCGGUGUUUGGCACCUCGAUGUCGGCUCAUCACAUCCUGGGGCUGAAGUAGGUCCCAAGGGUAUGGCUGUUCGCCAUUUAAAGUGGUACGCGAGCUGGGUUUAGAACGUCGUGAGACAGUUCGGUCCCUAUCUGCCGUGGGCGCUGGAGAAUUGAGGGGGGCUGCUCCUAGUACGAGAGGACCGGAGUGGACGCAUCACUGGUGUUCGGGUUGUCAUGCCAAUGGCACUGCCCGGUAGCUAAAUGCGGAAGAGAUAAGUGCUGAAAGCAUCUAAGCACGAAACUUGCCCCGAGAUGAGUUCUCCCUGAGACUUUAAGUCUCCUGAAGGAACGUU
rnacentral:rRNA from 1 species